rnacentral:sRNA from 1 species
CUCUAACCUCUAACCUCUAACCUCUAACCUCUAACCUCUGGAAUCCCUCGCUCCAUCAACUGACUUUCCAUCCACAACUUAGCCUCCCUAUAGAUUGUUCAAAAAAGGAGCAACGAGGAAUAUCAUUCUGAUCUUUAAAACGUUCAAUACCGGGAGGCCUUCAGAUGCUCUUUACCAUAGCGUCAAGUAUUGGUUUUAGGCUUUAGAGAUUUCUGGUUCCUAUUGAAAUCCUGCCGAGGUUUGUUGUUCUUUCGAAUGUAUAGGUCAAGGAACCUCAAGAGGGAAAUCUUCGGCGAAGCUUCAUUCAGCCUUGUGUCAUGAAGCACGGAUUUCCUGACAUAAUGGUAUAUUUGAAGUCUUGUGCAAAAAAGGAGGUUUAAUUAGAGAAUGAUCUGUAUUCCAGCAAAUAUACUGUAACUGGGCUUGUAUCUAUACAAAUGGAUACACGAGCCCGAUACACAAGCUGGCCAACCAUCAGUUCUUUGGUAGAAGUCUGCGUCUUGAAUCGGAACAUAUUCAAUCAAUCUUUAACAUAAUAAUAUGAAGGCUCAUGAUGUGAGAUGAUUAGAUGUUAGACAUCCUCCUUUUCGCCCUUCCCCUCCCAGGCUAGCUUGUGCGAGAAUACCACGCAUUCGAGCUCCAAACAACAAGGGCAAUGGUAGGACCCAAGGAAGGAAGGAGUCAUUUGACGAUCGUUGAUGGGCGAAACGUGCGUGAUUGGCUGAUCCUGUCUUUCAGAUCAUUCAUGCGCCUCCCAAGAGCUCCUAUGGGACUCCUACCUAUUACAUGUCAACAUACUUCCUGUAGUCUUUAAUAUUUGCGCUCCUGAUAUACAAAA